GCAUCAUCUGCUUAUCAGUUUGAAGGUGCCGCAAGGGAGGAUGGUAAAGGAGUAAGCAACUGGGACCAGUUCACGGCUAGACAUCCAGAUAUGAUAAAGGAUGGCAAGACUGGAGAUGUGGCCG